GAUGAAGAACGCAGCGAAAUGCGAUAAGUAGUGUGAAUUGCAGAAUUCAGUGAAUCAUCGAAUCUUUGAACGCACAUUGCGCCCCUUGGUAUCCCGAGGGGCGUGCCUGUUCGAGCGUCAUUUCACCACUCAAGCCUGGCUUGGUGUUGGGCGACGUCCCCUUUGGGGACGCGCCUCGAAACGCUCGGCGGCGUGGCACCGGCUUUAAGCGUAGCAGAAUCUUUCGCUUUGGAAGUCGGGGCCCCGUCUGCCGGAAGACCUACUCGCAAGGUUGACCUCGGAUCAGGCAGGGAUACCCGCUGAACUUAAGCAUAUCAAUAAGCGGAGGA
rnacentral:misc_RNA from 1 species